rnacentral:rRNA from 1 species
ACUCAAAGGAAUUGACGGGGGCUCACACAAGCGGUGGAGCAUGUGGUUCAAUUCGAAGCAACGCGCAGAACCUUACCUGGGCUUGACUAGCUAGGAUUAUCCCUAUGAAAGUAGGGUAGGCCCUUCGGGGUACAACUAGUACAGGUGCUGCAUGGCUGUCGUCAGCUCGUGUCGUGAGAUGUCGGGUUAAGUCCCUUAACGAGCGAAACCUUUGCCCUUAGUUACUCCGGCUCAGCCGAGGACUCUAAGGGGACUGCCGGUGUCAAACCGGAGGAAGGUGGAGAUGACGUCAAGUCCUCAUGGCCUUUAUGCCCAGGGCCACACACGUGCUACAAUGGGGUGCACAGAGCGAACCGAGAGCGCAAGCUGGAGGAAAUCGCAUAAAUCACCCCCCAGUUCAGAUAGGAGGCUGCAACUCGCCUCCUUGAAGUUGGAAUCGCUAGUAAUCGCGGAUCAGCUACGCCGCGGUGAAUGUGUUCCUGAGCCUUGCACACACCGCCCGU